rnacentral:rRNA from 1 species
AGGACGAACGCUGGCGGCGUGCCUAACACAUGCAAGUCGAGCGAGGAGAUCCUCGGGAUGAUCCUAGCGGCGGACGGGUGAGUAACACGUGGGCAACCUGCCUCAUAGAGAGGAAUAGCCUUCCGAAAGGGAGAUUAAUACCUCAUAACAUUGCAGUUUCGCAUGGAACAGCAAUUAAAGGAGUAAUCCGCUAUGAGAUGGGCCCGCGGCGCAUUAGCUAGUUGGUGAGGUAACGGCUCACCAAGGCGACGAUGCGUAGCCGACCUGAGAGGGUGAUCGGCCACAUUGGGACUGAGACACGGCCCAGACUCCUACGGGAGGCAGCAGUGGGGAAUAUUGCACAAUGGGGGAGACCCUGAUGCAAGCAACGCCGCGUGAGUGAUGACGGCCUUCGGGUUGUAAAGCUCUGUCUUCAGGGACGAUAAUGACGGUACCUGAGGAGGAAGCCACGGCUAACUACGUGCCAGCAGCGGC